GCUACAAAAUGCUGUGGAAAUCAUUCAGAAACAUCAGAAACAUAAAGAGAGGUAUCAGGGAGAAACGUUGGCGGUCACAUGGCAGGGAAGAGGAAGGAAACGGUCCUGCAGGUUACUGUUACGACUGAAGAAGACUGGGCCACAUUGCUGCAAAGAAAAGGCAUCAUAGUUGUGGAUGUGUACUCGAACUGGUGCGGCCCCUGUAAGCCAGUGGUCCGUCACCUCCAGAGGAUGAAGAAUGAAAUUGCCGAGGACGAGCUGCUGCACUUCGCCACAGUAAGGGAAAAAAAAAGCUGAGUCAGACAGCCUUGAAGAUCUGAAAGAAUAUCGUGGGCAAUGUCAAACCGUUUUUUUAUUAUAUCAUAACGCACAGGUGGUGGAGAAGGUGGAAGGUCCCAAGGUUCCAGCUAUCCAGAAGGCCAUCAAAGACCAACUGACCAAAGUCAAGCGGCAGCUGAAGGAGGGCGCUGAAUGAGGGAAUUCAGUUGAUCAGACGCCAAUAGCCUGAACAUUAUUCAAUAAUGUGAGUUCAAUAUUUCCUCCUCAUUAUAGUGAGGUUGGUAUGCAAGGAAGUGCUGAACAGAGGAGCUGAUGAAUACAUGUUUUUGUUCGUCUUCACUGUGUGUAUUACUGUGAAGACCAUCAUGGUGGCAUGUUUGUGACAGUGACUGUAGAAUCAUUUGAUUUUAGCUACUGAAAUGGAAUUACAUUUUGUACUUUUCUUGACAAAAGUUUGUGCAUUGAAUGACAUACUUUGAUAAAGAGAUUUGUUAAAUA